UACGGAGGGUGCAAGCGUUAUCCGGAAUCACUGGGCGUAAAGGGCGCGUAGGCGGUCUGUUAAGUCCGAUGUUAAAUCCCGGGGCUCAACCCCGGAUAAGCGUUGGAUACUGGCAGGCUAGACGGUUGGAGAGGCGAGUGGAAUUACCAGUGUAGCGGUGGAAUGCGUAGAUACUGGUAGGAACACCCAUUGCGAAGGCAGCUCGCUGGACAACACGUGACGCUGAGGCGCGAAAGUGUGGGGAGCAAACCGG
rnacentral:rRNA from 1 species